AGCCUCUUUCUAGAUGAGAAUGGGCACUGUCGAUCAUGGUGUCUGAAAAUUGUAAGUGGCUAAAUUGAAACACAGGUUAUGCUUCCAUAAGAGUAUAUGUAUUGCAGUGGUGACAAUGAGACCUGUAACACUU
rnacentral:snoRNA from 10 species